UUCCUUUGCACCAGUUUUGGUAACACUCCUCUUUUUCAGAGGCGUGUUUUAAUAGGGAAUCUCGUGUGAUUCGAGAGCUGUCCCCGCAACUGUAAGCCACCAAACAAAUUCAUCACCCCUGCCACUGUUGUUAACUCCAACGGGAAGGCGUUGAAUUUUGGGCAAGCCAGGAGACCUGCCAAAAAAAGCCUGCAAUC
rnacentral:ncRNA from 2 species